GGAGCGGUGGCUGAGCGGUUGAAGGCGCCGGACUUGAAAUCCGGUGAAGGGCUUGCCCUUCCGUGGGUUCGAAUCCCACCCGCUCCG
rnacentral:tRNA from 1 species